UAUUUACGACCUCUUUCUGGAUGAAGGU
rnacentral:piRNA from 1 species